AGGUUAUUUCACUUAUCACAUUUACGGACAUACAAGGGUGCAGGUUAUUUCACUUAUCACAUUUACGGACAUACAAGGGGUGCUGGUUAUUUCACUUAUCACAUUUACGGACAUACAAGGGGUGCUGGUUAUUUCACUUAUCACAUUUACGGACAUACAAGGGGUGCAGGUUAUCUCACUUAUCACAUUUACGGACAUACAAGGGGUGCUGGUUAUCUCAUUUAUCACAUUUACCGACAUACAAGGGGUGCAGGUUAUCUCAUUUAUCACAUUUACCGACAUACAAGGGGUGCAGGUUAUCUCAUUUAUCACAUUUACCGACAUACAAGGGGUGCAGGUUAUCUCAUUUAUCACAUUUACCGACAUACAAGGGGUGCAGGUUAUCUCAUUUAUCACAUUUACCGACAUACAAGGGGUGCAGGUUAUCUCAUUUAUCACAUUUACCGACAAACAAGGGGUGCAGGUUAUCUCAUUUAUCACAUUUACCGACAAACAAGGGGUGCAGGUUAUCUCAUUUAUCACAUUUACCGACAAACAAGGGGUGCAGGUUAUCUCAUUUAUCACAUUUACCGACAAACAAGGGUGCAGGUUAUCUCAUUUAUCACAUUUACCGACAAACAAGGGGUGCAGGUUAUCUCAUUUAUCACAUUUACCGA